AGUGAACGCUGGCGGUAGGCCUAACACAUGCAAGUCGAACGGCAGCACAGUAAGAGCUUGCUCUUACGGGUGGUGAGUGGCAGACGGGUGAGGAAUACAUCGGAAUCUACUUUUUCGUGGGGGAUAACGUAGGGAAACUUACGCUAAUACCGCAUACGACCUACGGGUGAAAGCAGGGGAUCUUCGGACCUUGCGCGAUUGAAUGAGCCGAUGUCGGAUUAGCUAGUUGGCGGGGUAAAGGCCCACCAAGGCGACGAUCCGUAGCUGGUCUGAGAGGAUGAUCAGCCACACUGGAACUGAGACACGGUCCAGACUCCUACGGGAGGCAGCAGUGGGGAAUAUUGGACAAUGGGCGCAAGCCUGAUCCAGCCAUACCGCGUGGGUGAAGAAGGCCUUCGGGUUGUAAAGCCCUUUUGUUGGGAAAGAAAAGCAGCAGGUUAAUACCCCGCUGUUCUGACGGUACCCAAAGAAUAAGCACCGGCUAACUUCGUG
rnacentral:rRNA from 1 species